UAAUGAUCUCUGUUAACAGUAGUCCAGUUAGGGCUAGAUAAUGACAUGUUAACAGUAGUCCAGUUAGGGCUAGAUAAUGACAUGUUAACAGUAGUCCAGUUAGGGCUAGAUAAUGACAUGUUAACAGUAUUCCCGUUAGGACCUGAUAAUGACCUGUUAACAAUAGUUUCUCCUGAUGGCCAGUAGAACAGCGGGGUGUCACUGCAACGGCUCCACAGUUAUGGCCAGUUUUCCCGAACAGAAAUUAAGCCUAUUCCUGGAUGAAAAAAAAAACACUUUCAAUUAAGAUUCUCAAAUGAGAUUGGUGUUUGAUACAGGACUAGGCUUAAUCUGUGUACCAGGAUAGCGUCUCUUACAGCAUAUCUCACAGUUAGUGCUGCGUUUCAAAAGCCAGAUGAGUUUCUAAUCAAAAAGGACUACCAGAUGCACACAGCCCAGCAACAGACCAGGCUCGCCAGCUUAAAAGUGACACCAACCUACCAAAUAAACAGUGUUAUUAUUAUUAUUUAGAAAUCCAGUUCUCCGAACUAGCCAAGUGUUUAAUAAUGACAUUAUUCUGUUUUAUUAUCUAGUUUAAUAUGUUGGUGCCUCACAGACACUGAAAGACAAGAUCCUCUCUCUCUGGGGAAGUGCCUUGACAUCAGAUCCUGUUGUGACGUCAUCUCUCCACCAGGCAAUAGUGUUCACCACGUCUGCAUCGGGAAUGGUACCCUAGUGUACUAUAAAGGGAACAGGGUGCUAAUGGGCCCUGAUCUAAAGUAGUGCACUAUAUAGGGAACAUGGUGCUGGGGAGACCAGUCCUUCUAAUUUGCUGAAGGACUGCAUGAGGUUUGUGUUUAUUCAUUCUAGACGUGACCAAACAAACCGGGUAUCGAACCAGAGUCAUUUGAGUGCCUCAAGACCACAUUCGUCCACAGAGCUAAAGGCUUGAUAGGCCCCAGCUUUGGAUCUUACACUAGUCCUCAGGUUAGGUUCAUCAAUCAUCACGAUGGACGGGGGAGGAAAAACACUAGUCCUCAGGUUAGGUUCAUCUAUCAUCAUGAGUGGGGGAGGAAAAACACUAGUCCUCAGGUUAGGUUCAUCUAUCAUCAUGAGUGGGGAAGGAAAAACACUAGUCCUCAGGUUAGGUUCAUCUAUCAUGACGAUGGACGGGGGAGGAAAAACACUAGUCCUCAGGUUAUGUUCAUCUAUCAUGGAGGGAUAAGGAAUCACAUUUCUUAAUGAAUCAGAGAAGGACAGGUUGACUCUCUUUGAUGAGCUAGACCUUUAUGAGGCAAGGAUGGAGAGGUUGACUGUGUCCCGAUUCUCUACCCUUCUUCCGAAGUGCACAGGUGCAAACGGUCAUGGAUUUCACAAUGGUGGAAACUCCCUCUAGCCUUUAAAUCCACGAUGUGGAGUGUGCAAGUGCAUCCUUGGAGGAUCGGGAUGUAUCCGUGUGCAGUCCUCGGUCUGCUAUCAUGCUUCAUGGUGGUACAGUACUUCGAAUUGUCC
ensembl:lncRNA